UGCCUAUGGGGGGCAGCAGUUAGGAAUAUUCGUCAAUGGGGGAAACCCUGAACGAGCAAUGCCGCGUGAACGAUGACGGUCCUCUGGAUUGUAAAGUUCUGUUGUUUGGGGAGAACGGCUCUAAUAGGAAAUGAUUAGAGAUUGACUGUACCAUUCAAGAAAGCCACGGCUAACUACGUGCCAGCAGCCGCGGUAAUACGUAGGUGGCGAGCGUUAUCCGGAUUUAUUGGGCGUAAAGGGAGCGUAGACGGCUGUGCAAGUCUGGAGUGAAAGGCGG
rnacentral:rRNA from 1 species